UACAGAGGGUGCAAGCGUUGUUCGGAAUUAUUGGGCGUAAAGGGCGCGUAGGCGGUGCGGUAAGUCUGUAGUGAAAUCUCUGGGCUCAACUCAGAGUCUGCUAUAGAAACUGCCGUGCUUGAGUGUGGGAGAGGUGAGUGGAAUUCCCGGUGUAGCGGUGAAAUACGUAGAUAUUGGAAGGAACACCAGUGGCGCAAGCGGCUAUCUGGACGAGUAUUGACGCUGAGGCACGAAAGCGUGGGGAUCAAACAGGG
rnacentral:rRNA from 1 species